rnacentral:rRNA from 1 species
AACGCGAAGAACCUUACCACCCUUUACAAUUCUCGGUAGGUUCCCCAAAAAGGGAUCUUUCCCUUCAAGGGGCCGGUACACAGGUGCUGCAUGGCUGUCGUCAGCUCGUGUCGUGAGAUGUUGGGUUAAGUCCCGCAACGAGCGCCACCCUCGCCCUUAGUUGCCAUCAUUCAGUUGGGCACUCUAAGGGGACUGCCGGUGAUAAGCCGAGAGGAAGGUGGGGAUGACGUCAAGUCCUCAUGGCCCUUACGGGCUGGGCUACACACGUGCUACAAUGGCGGUGACAAUGGGCAGCGAAGGGGCGACCGGGAGCAAAUCCCAAAAAGCCGUCUCAGUUCGGAUUGCACUCUGCAACUCGAGUGCAUGAAGGUGGAAUCGCUAGUAAUCGCAGAUCAGCAUGCG